UACGUAGGUGACGAGCGUUAUCCGGAUUUACUGGGCGUAAAGCGCUUGUAGGUGGCUUUGUAAGUUGGGCGUGAAAACUCUGGGCUUAACCCAGAGACGCCGUCCAAUACUGCGAGGCUAGAGGAUGUCAGAGGAAGGUGGAAUUCCUGGUGUAGUAGUGAAAUGCGUAGAUAUCAGGAGGAACACCCGUGGCGAAGGCGGCCUUCUGGGGCAUUCCUGACACUGAGAAGCGAAAGCUAGGGGAGCAAACAGG
rnacentral:rRNA from 1 species